rnacentral:rRNA from 1 species
CUACGGGCCGCUCCAGUGGGGAAUAUUGGACAAUGGGGGAAACCCUGAUCCAGCAAUGCCGCGUGUGUGAAGAAGGCCUGCGGGUUGUAAAGCACUUUCGGUUGGGAGGACUGCUUCUAGCACUAAUAUUGUUGGAAGUUGACGUUACCUUCAGAAGAAGCACCGGCUAACUCCGUGCCAGCAGCCGCGGUAAUACGGAGGGUGCAUGCGUUAAUCGGAAUUACUGGGCGUAAAGCGCGCGUAGGCGGCCAGAUCAGUCGGGUGUGAAAGCCCCGGGCUUAACCUGGGAACUGCAUCCGAUACUGUCUAGCUUGAGUACAGGAGAGGAGAGUGGAAUUCCACAUGUAGCGGUGAAAUGCGUAGAUAUGUGAGGAACACCAAUGGCGAAGGCAGCUCUCUGGCCUGAUACUGACGCUGAGGUGCGAAAGCGUGGGGAGCAAACAGGAUUAGAUACCCCAGUAGUC